CACCGCGUUCUCGGCGCGCUGCGUCCGCGGCGUGGCCGGCGUUCGACGGCGGGGGCGGGGGAGCGGCCCGCGGCGGGCGCGAAAACCCGGCGCGGAGUCUCCCGGGCGGCCGGAGCGGGCUCUCCGUGCAGCCCGGCCCCAGCGCCCCCUCCCCUCAACCCUAACGACCCCGCGUCUCCCGGGCACGGGACCCGCCCCUGGCGGACAGGCCUCCGGCCGAGCGCCUCAGGCGGAGUCGGGUCCCGCUCCCCUCGCGCGCACGCGCCCUGCGCGCCCCCCGCGACCCUGAGGGACCCUUGACAGGGUGACAUUGAAAGUAACGGCAGUGUUCGUGCUUCCCCAAACUCCCUCCCCCCGGGCCGGGCCGGGCGCGGGCUCCCCGGGGCCCCAGCCCAUCCCCCGCGCCGGCGGGCACCGGGACAGGGCGGAUGACUCGGCAGAUCGCGGCUUCCGGCCGGACGCGGCGGCGGCGCGCCCGCCCCCGACAAGGUGCUCGGGCCCGGCUGCCCGCCGCCGGCCAGGAAGGCGGGAAUGCCUCCCGGCCUCGUCAGACCCCCGGCGCUGACAGGGCAGAACCUUCCAGAUUGUUCUAGCCCGGCUGUGCGAUCGCCUGGCCUUCCGCCUGGGACCUUUGUCCCCGAUGAUAACCGAGGAGCCCCCCGAAUGUCAGCUCUGUCGCUGUGCAGCUGCGCUCGGAAAUUUCACGUUUCAGAGAUUUAGGUCAAGGCUCAGACAGACGCUGAGUGAGUCUCGGCCCUGUGUGUUUCUGGGGAAAUAACCCUCAGUAUCCCACACGCGAUAUUUAAUUCCAGAGGCAAAUCCCAUUUUGAUUAAAGCGGAGAAAAGUGUCUUAAAACACGUGAGCACGGUGCAGAGGUAAAGCAGGUCUGUGAGAGCUGGCGGUGAGAAGGCCCCCUCGUGCCCCCGUGCUGCAGGCCGCUCCUUCUGGACUCUUCUAGAAGUACUCCCUGUUUCUACAAAUGAGCAGGAGGGAGGGCAUUUUAAUUUCCGCCCUGGAAGCUUCAGGAAGAAAACAGAAAGGCCGCUGACUGAAAGCUGUUGCCAUCAGGAGAAGACCACACUCCUGUUCUAAAUUCUGAGCACUUUAAUAUUUAAGCGUUCUCCCUGAGAUGGGAAUCAAGACGGAACUGCCCUGCGUCUCCCCGGGGAAGCCGUGUACGUGUGUAUUUAUGAAGAAGGGCUGAGGGACGCCGAGCCAUGGGCGCCGUGUGAGCCAAUUAAUCACAACCAGCUAGGGGUCGAGAGAGGAAGUUUAAUUCCGGCAAAUCGGAAGAUGGGUGACUAAGGUCUCAAAAACCCGUCUUCAAGGAUUCCAGGGUCUCGAGGCAAAUAUAGGGAACGGGCAGCGAGGAGGGGUGCGGGCAUCACGUUGCUCCCUUCUGCCCGCUGUGGUGGAGGCCUAGUGGGUGUGCCUCCCGCCUGUGGGCAGCCCGUGCCUGGAGGGAAACUCACAGAACAAAGUUUGAGUUUGUGAAGCUGUCAGGGAGCACCCACGUCAAGCGGAGGCCAUAAACCAGGAGGGCGUGCGAAUGCUUGUGCAGAGUACGUGCAGAGCGGCGAGUGGUCACACGGAGGAGGGGCUGGGGCCACUUAGCACAACAAGAUGGCCUCACUCAUGCUCACUUCCAUGAGCGGUGCUGAAGAUGCUUUACCCUCUGUGAUUUUUAACCUUGUCCAAAGAGAAUGAAUUUAUUAGUAGGAAAUUAAAAUAAAUGGUAAAAAUAGAAUUCAUUGUUCAGGAAAGCAGGAGACGCCAGCGACUGCCAAUAAAGAUUUGGGUGAAGGUUAUUUCUUUCUAAAUUUCUGGAAAGAGGUUUUAAAGGAACACCAUGCAGAGGCUCUUUAUGAGGUUAUUUCUCCCUAAAUUCCAGGGAGAAGUUUUCAAAGGAACGAAAACUGAGGUUCUUUCUCCGGUGGCCAGGCCUCACUUCAAACCACACCUUGUUUGCUUUCGGCUGUUGCUCGGCUGCAAGCCUUGUGAUUCAUGUCGUUUAAGGGCUGAGUCACACGCUUUGUGACGUGGCUUCUUUCGGAGUCCAAAAGGCAUGGAGAAAAACAGGCCUGAUUUCUGAGGGCGAGGAGGGGGGAGAGCGUCUCAGGGGGCGGGGAGAGGCCCAGGGUCAGCUCCGAAGAGAAAACAACAUUCUUCGGAGCUGAGAACACUGAUUUUUUUUCUCUAGCAGAAAAUCUUCUCUGAAAACGUUUGCAUCCCCUAAUUUAAGUCCAAGAGUGAGUUUUUGUUGAAGCAAAUAGAAGUAAACAUUUGUCCCAGGGCACUGAGCGAGAGAGGGGAGGCGGCGCUGACCUCCCCCAAAGAGAGGGACUGGUGUGCCUCUGGAGCAGCGCUUCUCAACUGGGAAUCAUUUUUGCCCCUCCGUGGACACCUGGCAACGUCUGGAGGCGUUUUUGCCUGUCACAACUGUGGUGGUGCUUGGUGGGGGUGGGGGGCGCUGCUAGCAUCUAGUGGUAGAGGCCAGGGAUGCCAUGAAACUUCCGACAGUGGACAGGCCCCCGCGACACAGAAUCACCAGGCCCUAAAUGUCCGUAAUUUGGUUGAGGAACCCUGCUCUAGAGAGGAUUUUUGUUGUUGUUAUUGCCACUGCUUUUCCCUUUGCUGAGAAGGGCUCCCAAGGUCUAAAUGUCCCGCUCGGACUCGGGAAUCGGGAAUCAGGUACCAAGUCACGCUCCUAAAACCUGAACGCCUCUGACUCAGAAUGCAGUGUGCUGGAAGGUGCGAGAAGCUGGAUGAGUCCCUGGAUCCAUUUUCAGUUCUUUCCGCCCACACAGAUCCGUCCUUUGCAGGCGCCCCAGAAGAAAUUGCUUCAGAGCUGGCACCAAUGGGAAAGUGACAGAGGCCAGCAACAGGGCGGGAUUGGCGGGCAGAUCGGGCACGUGAUGGGCUGAGCUCACAAAGGGCCUGGGUGUUGGGCUGUUGCGGGGAGGGGGUUGGACUGGUGCCUGUGUGUCUGCCUGCCUUUCUUCCUUCCUCCAAAACAUUCGUUUCCCCUGAAGGUCACAACUAGUAUGGGGCUUCACUCAGCCUCGUGAGAAUGUCUCAGAGCACAAUGGGCCGCAAACAGUGUCCUCCCAGGAGAAAGGGGAGAAAUAACCUUCACGGAAGCUCCAUAGAAACAGGGGCUAUCACCACUCCCCCACGACCUAACUGGUCAAGUCAAAUGAGACAGAAGACUUCCUGGGGAAAGAAUUCAUUCAUUGUUACAGCAGACAAAGGACUGCACCUCCAGGAUACAACAGGAUCUCUGCUUUCAACAAAAUACACCUUUUAUUUUUAUUGAUAAAAUACAGAUACAGUGUAUAAAUAUAAAAAUAAACGAUAUGUGCACCAAAGCCAUUCAUUCCUUCCUUCGUGGCCUGUUGCUGAUGAAGCGGGGAGCAAACCCUGCCUGCUGGGCACGCUCCGGCUCCCUCUGAGAAGGCCGUUGCUGACCGCACGGACACCCAGAGACUCAGAGCUUUCCCUCGCUUACACACUUGCCCUCUGACGGCCAGGAAUGAGUCCCCAGGCCUCGAGGCCUUUCCUGCAGUCACGAGGCCAGGAACCGUGCGGGAAACUCCCCAAACCUGUGGUGUCAGAUUUUGCCUUUCCAUUUUUCUGCUGACUGCUCCUUUUCUGACAAAAGUACCUUUGGAGUGUUGGGGGUUUCAGAAAGAGAAGAUCAUGCCUUGUGAAAAUCCCACCUCCAAGUAGUAAUUGGGUACUUGUUAAUAACUUGAUAAUACUUGUUAUAAUCACAUCCAUGGCACUUUAAUGAUGGGCAGAAACUAAAAAGAAAAAGUUCAGGAAAACAGCAGUGGAGAUGCCGGGGAUCGAACCCGGGGCCUCAUACAUGCAAAGCAUGCGCUCUACCACUGAGCUACAUCCCCUGACCUUGCUUCUAGGUUUUCUGAAAUUCUCUGCUAUACUCUAUUCUUAAGAUUUUUUUUUUUCUAAAUUAGAAUUUUGUAUAGUAUUUAAAUGGAUGUUAGGGUUUAGCAAACGCAAACCAAAAUAAGUCAUUUUAUGUCUCCCAAGCAGACCCGUUCUUCACAGCCUUGCAGCUGAAAUUCUAGCUGACACCGGAAAUAGCCCUGUUCCUGAAUGUUUCUCCUCACAGACAGAAAAGAAGGGAAGGGAAAGGAAAGCUUCCUUCCAAUAAGCAGGAGUGUUGCCCUGACUGCACCUCCACCCAGAAAUCUCUGCUUUCCUGUCCUUUAAAUCCCUUCCAAGCUUCGGUGACUUUGAGGUUUCCACAUGUGCGUGAAGACCUUUUUUUCUCCCAAAAGAACUCUUCUGAAUAUAAAAAUGAGCAAACUAGAAGGAAGCAGAUCCAGCCCUCAGGAUGACGGGUUAAACUCUGAGGAAGGGACCUCUUUGCAACAGCCCACUGAAAAACGCCAUUCUCUACCUGUCAGGGAGCCCCUCUCUUCCAGAUACUUAGCAUCCUGCUGGGGUCACCAAGGGCUACCCAGUGGGGAAGGAGCAGGUGAGUGGCAAGGAGAGGGCUCCAAACUGAAGGCCACACCUCUUUCCACCAGCGCUUGAGAUUUCCUGGCAGGAAACAGUGACUUAGGGAGAACCCCACCCAAAAAUGUCCUGCCGGCUUGGUCCGCAGUCAGCUCCCUUCCAGCGUGCUGAGGCCUGACACCCUUUGCAGCUAAAGGCCUAAGUGAGCUGGUGCACAGGAUGCUGGACCCAGCAGCUGUGACUUCCUCUGGGCUCGUCUGUAAAAUGGAGAUGGAAUAGGACCUGCUUCACAGGGGGGUUGUGAGCAUUGAACGAGUUACACGUAGAAGCUUUAGAACAGUGCCUGGCACAGGGUCCGGGCUUGGAAACGUGAGUCGUCUUUAUUGUACACGUUGUUAGGAUGUGAAAUCCCGGGAAGGGCCCUGCGUCUCAUCUUCACCCCAGGUGUGAGCUGGUGCUUUGCUGAUGGUUUUAGUGAAGCAGAACAGAUGAGCAGGAGGGCAGCGGGGCGAGGUGCGGAAUAGGGCUCUACGUAAGCCGCUCUUUGUCCUUAUCCUCUAGCUCAAGGAGGUAGCCACGAGAGAGCGACCUUGGCCACAGAAAGAUGGCGCCACAGAUGGCGUUCUUUUGGACAGGGUUUGGGAGGGAGCUAAAGGGUUGUAUGCAGUUCUGGAAGUGCCCCUGCUUGCUCUCUCGCCAGACAGCUCUGCUCAAAGCAAACUCAGUUAUGUUUCCCCGCCGCAUAAAACUCUCGGAGUCAAAUCCAUACUCCGCACUCUGCCCUCUGUGAUCUGGCCUCUGUGGACCUUGCUAACAUCCCUGCUCUGCUCCUCCUCCCUGGGGGCCCUCCAGCCACAGCUGCCUGCUUGCUGUUCCCCAGGCAUGCCAGGCUCCUCUGCACCUCCGUGCCUUUGCACUUGCCAUUCCCUCUGCCUGGAAUGCGGUUCCCCAGAUCUCUGUGAUCGGCUCCUUCUCAUUGUCCAGGUCCUCGGAAAGGCCCUCCUGGCCUCCUCUCUAAAGGGCCGACGAAUCCCAUGCAUUGUUUUUCUUCACAGCAUCUGCCACCCUCAAAAGCUGUGUUUCUACUUGUUCACUGUCUGCGUCCCUCCGUCGCUCCCUGGCUCAGCAGGGCAGGGCCUAGUCUCCCUCCUGCUGGAUCCCCAGCGCCUGGCGCAUCCCGGGUGCCCAGCACCGAUGCGAGGGAUGAAUGUGAAGCGAACAGACAAACGCAGGAAGGCAGGCGCGGGAGCCUGGGAAGCGGGAGCGCUGUGUUCAGAGGUGGAGUCUGCAAGGUCAGAGGAGAAAACGUUCCUGUUUGGAGGCACCCCGCCUCCUGCCUCAAUCCCUAAACCUUUUCCGAGAGCCAGGCUCUGGGCUGGAAGGACGUAGGAAGAGGGGAGGUUUGCAGCCGAGCGAGCAGCUCCGGGCUGAGAACCUGACGGUUUCUGGGAAACGAUCAUGUACAGCUAACGCUCUGCGGCCGCGCCGUGGGCCUGCAGGAAUCGAAAACACCGCUUCAGCGAAAGAACGGGGACUCUUUUUUGCAACCACGUGACACUGGGGAGCCAGAGCGUGCCUGGGACUAAGCUGCCGAAAGGCAACUGCUGUCAGGGGGAGUGUCGCCUGCCUGUCGGGUGUAUUCUUCGCGAGGAGAAUAAGGAAUUUCUACGGCAGUUGGAGAAUUUUAUUUGUUUAGAAGAAAAAAGAAAAAAAUAGAGACGAAUGGUAAAACAUAGACAGCCUCCCCGUCGGGGAAUCGAACCCCGGUCUCCCGCGUGACAGGCGGGGAUACUCACCACUAUACUAACGAGGACGGGCGCUACCCGCCGCUCCUCAGACCUCCCCUUUAAGGCAUGCUUAGCUUCCCCUAAAUAGUAAUAUGUUUCCAAUGGUUCAAUAUUUUAUCUUUUCCUACAAAACCAAAGAAUGCAAAGUCCCGUUUGGCUUAAUUCCGUCUUAAAGAAGCCGUUUCCUGCCGGAUCCUUGAUUUAGCCGCUAGGUUCAGACAGCAGACGUUAAUAAACAGCAAAAACUAACGGACAGACAUCAACAAACAUGCAACAGAGAUUAAUAAACGUUUACGAAAUUAAAGAAAUGGGGUCAGGAAAAACUCGGCCUUGGUGGAUAUCCCCGGAUGAGGAGUUGCGCGCAAGUUUCCAUCCCUCUGGCUUCCCGUGGCUGCUGCUCGGAGCUGUUUGAAACUAAAAAAGUGAAAUGUCUUCGUUCAUUGGGAAGAAUCGGCUUCGUCUAUUCACUCCCUGCCCCCCGCCUCUUUCUCUUGGGGGAAAGACAAAAAAAAAAAAAAAAAAAAGCCACCAGCUGCCGAAACCCGGGAUCGAACCAGGGACCUUUAGAUCUUCAGUCUAACGCUCUCCCAACUGAGCUAUUUCGGCCACUGUUGGCGGUCGGCUGCGAUUCUCUCCUCCUCGUCGUCCUGACGGCCCUGGGUCUUCGACUUGGGGACCAGAUGCCGCGAGACCAGGAGCAGGUGGAACCCGUGACCGCCAGGCUCGCCCUGCACCUGCCCCUUCGCGUCCUUUAAGGCCACCGCCUCCAAGAAGCCUUCCCUGACCACUCCUCCAAACAAGACCCCAGCCCCUUAUUGUUUGUUAGCUUAUGUAUUGUUUUCCUUUUCCAAUACCUGUCUCUCCAGCUAGGACAGACCCAGGAGGAGCAGGGAAGUCAUCUGCCUGUGUCACUGCUGUAUCCCUCAGGGCCUGGAGCAGUGCCUGGCACAUAACAGGUGCUUAAUAAAUAUUUGCUGAAUUAAUGAACGAAAGAACGAAUGAAUGAAUCCUACUUGGCUCAGAGCUUUGCUUUUUCAAGCUCCCUUCUCUGUGCGAAGAAACAAGGCCAGCUUCCCAAGCAGCCCAAGGUAUGGCAGGGAUGCUGACCACGCCAAGGCGCGUGGGAGGACGCAUUGGCCAGAAGGUGGCUUUCCUUGGGGCCAUGAGUGACUCACAUCCGGCCUGCAAUCACGGCGGCCGCACCUGUGGCCCCUGCGGCACCUGCUCGGCAGCCUGGCAUGGGGACACCGACAGGUGGGCAUCAGGGUUCAGAUCUGCAUCCCUCCCCUUUGGGCAAUGGGUGGGUGGGGAGUGUUGUCUGGGAGCUGAUGAGCAAGUGGGGAGGUCCUUCAUGAUGUGUUUGCUGAGCACCCAGUGACCCUCUGGCCCAUCCACAAAUACAGUAACAGGAUAGUUGGGUACAAGAGUAAUGCUGAGAAGUACAAUAAAUCGUCGUGAUGGGGUGGGAUGCCAGGGGUGGGAGCAGGACGAGAAGAGAGAGGAGGAGAGAGCUGGGAAGACCUGAACAGUGAAGAGCCAGCUGUGCCGGGAGCUGCAGGGAGAGCCUCUGGGCAGAGGGGACAGCAGGGGCAAAGGCCCUGAGGCUGAAACAAGGUCAACUAGUUGGAGCAACAGAAAGAAAGUCAGCCUGGAAGAGCUGAAGAGGGGAAGGGGGGUGUAUCUGAUGCAGCAGUAAUGGAAAGGAAGGGUGAAGGAUGACACCAAGGGGCUGGUCUGCACUACCAGGCAGCUGCUGGAUGCUCUGGAGCCAGGGCGGGAGCACCGCAGGCUGAGUGCGGGAAUCGAGACUCUGUCACAGAGGCCUGAGGUUUUGAGACGCCAGCUAGACUUCCAAAUGGAAACUCGGAGAUGGCCAUUUUCCUGAACUUGCGGGAGCAAACCAGAGUCCUCUCAGUGUCCCCAAACCCAAUGUGAUGGGCUGAAUUGUGCCCCCUCCGAAUUCCUGUGUUGAAGCCCUAACCCCAGCCACCUCAGAACGCGGCCGGAUGUGGAGACGGGGCCUCUAAAGAGGUGAUGAAGUUAGAAGGGGUCGUUCCUCCAGCAGGACUGGUAUUCUUCUAAGAGGAGGCUAAGACACGGACCCAGAGGGACUGCCAUGUGAGGUCGCAGCGCCAAGUCAGCCCCCUGCACGCCAGGGACAGGCCUCAGGAGAAACCAAACGCCAGCACCUCCAUCUCAGACUUCCAGCCUCCAGGACUCAGAGAAUACAUCUGUGGUUUAAGCCACUCCAUCUGUGGUGUUUUGUUUUGGAAGCUGCGGCAACUAAUACACCCGCCUGCCCGUCCUAACACCUACCGUGGCUGCAUUUUCCUGGAUGGGGGAAGAUUUCUGAUUUCAAGGGUCUGGGAGAAAUAGGAAUGUCUGUCUCCCUUCUGGAAUCCUUGGCUCCCUCUCUAUCGAGAAUAGGUCCCCUUCUGAAGAUCCUCCUGCAGAGGCCUUGCAAAUGGCCUCUCAGAGGUACAGCCCAGUGUGUUCAUUUCUGAUCAGGUGUCAGGUCUGGCCAGAUCCAGCUCCAAACAGCCAGACCAGCAGUACAGCACACCCAGCCUUGCACAUCUGAGAGAAGAGCAGGCUUCAGUGUCCAUUGGGCAUGAAUCUACAGUGAUCCUAAAGCAAAAUGUGUUUUGGAAAUGUAAUUGAUGUCAUUAACAACUGAGAAGGUAAAAUGCUAUCCCAGUCUCAUGACCAUUGUUACUACUUUUUAAAAUGGUUUAUUCACUUUGUUUUGUUUCCUCAUAAUUUCUUUCCCAAUCAUUCAGUUCAUGCAGUCUGUCCCGUUCUUCUCAAACAUGUCAGCCCAAUGACCAGGAGAGAGGAAGCUGGCAACAAACAUUUGUUGAAUAAAUGAGUCACGAGGUCAUCAUUACUGUGUCUCCUGGGGCUGCUGUAACGAAUGACCACAAACUGGAUUUAUUCUCACAGUUUAGAGGCUAAAAGUCUGAAGUCAAGGUGUCCGCAGGGUUGGUUCCUCCUGGAGGCUUCGAGGAUGAAACCUCUCGGAGCUCCUGGUGUGGCGGGCAAUCCUCGGCACUCCUCGGCUUUUAGAUGCAUCGCUCCAUCGCUCCCCCGUCGGCCCCUGUCCUUCUACGUCUC